CCUACGGGUGGCCGCCGUGAGGAAUAUUGGUCAAUGGACGAGAGUCUGAACCAGCCAAGUAGCGUGAAGGAUGACUGCCCUAUGGGUUGUUAACUUCUUUUAUAUGGGAAUAAAACAGGGUAUGCAUACCCUCUUGUAUGUACCAUAUGAAUAAGGAUAGGCUAACUCCGUGCCAACCGCCGCGGUACUACGGAGGAUACGAUCGUUUUCCGGAUUUAUUGGGUUUGAAUGGAGCGUAGGUGGAUUGUUAAGGCAGUUGUGAAAGUUUGCGGCUCAACCGUAAAAUUGCAGUUGAAACUGGCAGUCUUGAGUACAGUAGAGGUGGGCGGAAUUCGUGGUGUAGCGGUGAAAUGCUUAGAUAUCACGAAGAACUCCGAUUGCGAAGGCAGCUCACUGGACUGCAACUGACACUGAUGCUCGAAAGUGUGGGUAUCAAACAGGAUUAGAUACCCGAGUAGUC
rnacentral:rRNA from 1 species